UACAGAGGUCUCAAGCGUUGUUCGGAUUCAUUGGGCGUAAAGGGUGCGUAGGCGGCUCGGUAAGUCGGGUGUGAAAUCUCGGAGCUUAACUCCGAAACUGCAUUCGAUACUGCCGUGCUUGAGGCCUGGAGAGGAGACUGGAAUUUACGGUGUAGCGGUGAAAUGCGUAGAUAUCGUAAGGAAGACCAGUGGCGAAGGCGGGUCUCUGGACAGUUCCUGACGCUGAGGCGCGAAGGUCAGGGGAGCAAACGGG
rnacentral:rRNA from 1 species